rnacentral:rRNA from 1 species
UACGUAGGGUGCAAGCGUUAAUCGGAAUUACUGGGCGUAAAGCGUGCGUAGACGGUUAUUUAAGUCGGGUGUGAAAGCCCCGGGCUCAACCUGGGAAUUGCAUUCGAGACUGAAUAGCUAGGGUACGGUAGAGGGAAGUGGAAUUUCCGGUGUAGCGGUGAAAUGCGUAGAUAUCAGGAGGAACACCGAUGGCGAAGGCAGGUCUCUGGGCCGAUACUGACGCUGAGGAGCGAAAGCGUGGGGAGCGAACAGG